GGGGACUGCACGUCCUAAUUUACUUGAUGUUGAUAUUCCACUUGGAUAACUGUGGUAAUUCUAGAGCUAAUACAUGCACCAAAGCUCCGAUCUCAUGACGAGCGCAUCUUUUAGACCAAAAACCAAUCUUGAAUAUUCACCUCAAAACGAAUGCCUCGUAAAUUUGGGGACUCUGAAUAGCUUACCUGAUCGCAUGGUCUCGCACCGGCGACGUAUCUCUCAAGUGUCUGCCUUAUCAACUUUCGAUGGUAGUUUAUAUGCCUACCAUGGUUGUAACGGGUAACGGAGAAUAAGGGUUCGACUCCGGAGAGGGAGCCUGAGAAACGGCUACCACAUCCAAGGAAGGCAGCAGGCGCGCAAAUUACCCACUCUCAGCACGAGGAGGUAGUGACGAAAAAUAACGAGACCGUUCUCUUCGAGGCCGGUUAUCGGAAUGAGUACAAUUUAAAGCCGUUAACGAGGAUCUAUGAGAGGGCAAGUCUGGUGCCAGCAGCCGCGGUAAUUCCAGCUCUCAAAGUGUAUAUCGUCAUUGCUGCGGUUAAAAAGCUCGUAGUUGGAUUUAAGCUCGAUGACUCGGUCCAUCCAUAGGAUGAGAACUGAGCUCAUCGGCUAUCAUCGGCUGGUUUUGUCUAGGUGGCUUUAAACGGUUGCCUAGGCUGGCUAGCAAGUUUACUUUGAAAAAAUUAGAGUGCUCAACGCGGGCUUAAUGCCUGAAUAGUCGUGCAUGGAAUAAUGGAAUAGGAUUUCGGUUCUAUUUUUGUUGGUUUUUUUAACCGAAAUUAUGGUUAAGAGGACAGACGGGGGGCAUUCGUAUCGGCUACGUGAGGAGGUUGAAAUUCUGGACCGUAGCGAAGACGCCCGACUGCCGACAGCCUUUGCCAAGAAUUGUCGUCCAUAAUCAAGAACGAAGGUCCGAGGUUCGAUGGCGAUCAGAUACGGCCUAAGUUCUGACCGUUAAACGAAUCCACUAGCCGUCCGCCGUUCGGUAAUACGCACAUUGGCGGGCAGCUUCCCGCAACUUAAAGGAUCUUCGUUUCGGGCGACUCUGUUGCAUGCGUGACCUUACGUAAUCUGCACCGAUAGGUCACGCACUGGAGGUCUGGAGCCUGAGCUUAACUUGACUCUAACGAACUACUGAACCUGUAACCUGUGAGAGAUGGACAAACG
rnacentral:rRNA from 1 species